rnacentral:rRNA from 1 species
GAUGAACGCUGGCGGCGUGCCUAAUACAUGCAAGUCGAGCAAACGGACGAGAAGCUUGCUUCUCUGAUGUUAGUGGCGGACGGGUGAGUAACACGUGGAUAACCUACCUAUAAGACUGGGAUAACUUCGGGAAACCGGAGCUAAUACCGGAUAAUAUUUUGAACCGCAUGGUUCAAAAGUGAAAGACGGUCUUGCUGUCACUUAUAGAUGGAUCCGCGCUGCAUUAGCUAGUUGGUAAGGUAACGGCUUACCAAGGCAACGAUGCAUAGCCGACCUGAGAGGGUGAUCGGCCACACUGGAACUGAGACACGGUCCAGACUCCUACGGGAGGCAGCAGUAGGGAAUCUUCCGCAAUGGGCGAAAGCCUGACGGAGCAACGCCGCGUGAGUGAUGAAGGUCUUCGGAUCGUAAAACUCUGUUAUUAGGGAAGAACAUAUGUGUAAGUAACUGUGCACAUCUUGACGGUACCUAAUCAGAAAGCCACGGCUAACUACGUG